UCUCUGUUCCGGCACAACAGUUGUGCUUAUUGCUUGUGAACGUGGAGAUCACGUUUCCCGGGUAUGCAGAGCUCGGAGGUUAACUCUAGUAUUGGCACAGUUCCUCUUGCUGUUGCAAAAGCUUCUAAUCUCUGAUAGCGAGCAGUUAGCUGCUAUUAAAAACACCAUAAAAAUUAUUAUAGGCAAUGUGAGAACAGGAUCCAAAACAGUUUUUCCCGCACGGAAGUAAUAAAGGGGGGGGCCUGUGCUGCCUGCAGCACCUGUGCCUAACUUAAGCCUGGCACUUAAGAAUUACUUGUAAUUCUUAAAAAGCAAAUACAUAAAAAACAGGAAACAAAUGCAACAAAGCAGAAACACUUUCCCUUGAUGUUCAGUUCAGCAUUAUGCUGAUAUUUAGCGUUUCACUGCUGUUUCACAAAUACAUCUGUUCUGUGUUAGAGGAGGAAGCAAGCUGGUUAAAGAAAGCACAGUUAAACACAGUCAGUAUCCAAAAACUUUACACCAAGACCCACAGGAGGAAAUGUCCAAACGCUUGCCCACCCUAUGAUCACCAGCUGGCCAGUAGAGCACCUGAGAACAGGUGGUGGACAGCAUGGCGUGCUACUGGCAUGUUAUGAGUGUGGAAGGUCAGCAUGCGCCUGAGAGAGAAUGAUCCCGGUGCAAUAGUUAGAAUGAGUUUUACAUGACAAGUCACUUCUAGAUCUACUGUUAAUGCUGCCCUCUCCCAUUGCAGCUGGUUGAUUAACAGAUGCUGCACCAAGGAAACACCCCAUCCAAUGACUCUUCCCAACAGAAGUGAGCCUGAAGCUUCUAUUAAAGUUUCUCAAUUUUUAUGAAACCUUUAAUGUAAUAUUGGUACUACUAUUCACUAAAAUGCUGAAUUUAAAAGACUUAGGCUGUAUAAAACAGGGUAGUUAAUUCAAAUGAACAUUAAGAAAAUGAAAAUACUGCAUUGCUGUAGUAAGCUGUCAGUGUUGUUUGCUUGCUUAUAUAUUUUCCUUUUCCUUUACAGAUGAGAAUUAACGUAAACCAGACAGCAAAAUAGAAGUAUUUCUUCUUUUUUUAUCAUUUUUCAUCAGGUACUUAAUUUAGUGAUUCAAUUUAUUAGCUCUUCAGCUGAAAACUGCACUGCAGACCAGUAGUAUGAAAAUGCAUAUUAAUCUGAUUUCUCUUCUCUGUUCAAAUCUUGCAAAAUCUGCUGAAGGAUGUCUAAAUGGGAAGAUUUCUCUCUGCCCUUGAGGACUGUGCAGAGCUGCUGACUGUGCCCUGGCUGGAAACAGUCUUUCUGGAGAAAAGUCAGCCAGUCUAGAAGGAAUCAGCCUGGAUCCUAAAGGCUGCCCAGCUCUGGAAGGAAACUUAAACCAUGGAUUGCAGUAUUUGAUUUUGACUUAUCCAAGUUUAUAUAUAGCACUUGGCAGUGGCAUUUAGGAUGUGGCUUCUCUGUACAUGUUUAUAAUACAAAAUAAGAUAUGUUAUCUUUAAAAUACUAGUGUUGCAUAGCAGCUUCGUUUUAUGUGAUCUUAAUUUGCAGAUUAGUUUUUUUAAUACCUUUUGCAAUUAAUGUGUUGGUUUAUAUUGUAGUGAACUUGGCAGUGCUAGGUUAAUGGUUGGACUUGAUGAUCUUAAAGGUCGUUUUUAACCUAAAUAAUUCUAAGAUUCUCUUCCAAAAGCUGGAAUGGGCUCUCAUUACAGAACAGAAUGCUACAGAAAACAGAGUAAGAUACAUAAAGGUAAAAAUAUUUCCUUCUGCCAAGUACACCAUUUUUUUUUUAAAAAAAGGAAUUUAGUGAAAUGAUGUUCCCAGAAUGAAGCCUUGUUCUCAGAGCUGUAAUGUGAGAAAGCUUUUCAGCAAACGGCUGUGUUGGGCAUCGCUAAUUUGAGCUGACUGGAGGGGUGGGAAGGCAGUUCAGCUCGUAUCCCAGGUUGUGUCCAGGAGGGCUCACGCUGGGCACAUUGAGGCACAGUCCAAAAACAGAGACCAAAAUCUUUACCCCGUCUCAGACCUUCUGCGCCUCCCUGCACACCAGCUCGCGGGCUGUUGGAGCCCUUCGCCUCGGGCCGCUGGGCUACCAGCUGUGAUAGCUGAGAUGUUUGCUUACGUUUGCCUGUGGGAUUUCAAAACCUUGAUCUGCUGCAGCUUCAGCUUCGGCACCAGCUGGAAGAACUCUGCAACUGGGAAAGUAAAAAUCGAGAAUAAAGCAGUGGACAUUUGGCAAGAGCUGCCCUCUCCUGGUUUAUUGACCCAUGACAUGAGGAUGCUGAGCUGGUAUUUCUUAGACAAGACAUGUCUGCCUGUCUGGAGAUCCAGAGCUGAACACAAGAGCUAAUCCCAUCCCUGAAGCAACCACCCAGGCACAGAAGAUUAGAACAGAUUUGAAAGAGCCUGCAAAUUUCUCUACUUCCUUGCAAUUCCAGUGGGCUUUGCUGCUGUGAGUUUCCAGGGAAAGCUAAACCUAAAAUAUUCCUGGCAGGUGUAAAAUGAAGUGGAUCUUGGAAUCUGUUACACGCAGAGGUAUUUUACAGCUAUCCAUAAGGUAAUUAAUCUACUGUAGAAUUUAACUGUGCAAAUUUUUAAUCUUUUCUGGAUGAAAAGGUCUUUCCUCUGUAUCUUCACCUUGGUUACGUAGCUCUAUGCCUGUAUCUAUCCCUUCCUCUCUCUCUCAUGAUCUAUAUUUAUCUAUGUCUCCAACUUCAAUAACUUGCUUGCCCGUAUCAGCACCAGGAGUCAUUCCCGCUGAAACGCAGGAUGUCACACGUGCUGUUACCGACCCCAGGCUGCAGUGGGUCCUUUUGCGAUGGGGGGAUGCUGGUGAUUUUUUUUUUUUCUUCAGGUGAUUAUUUUUCUUGUUUGAGGAUCGCAUUUUGUGCUAAUAUUUUUCUUAAAAAUAUUUGAACUGCCUCUUUGUUUUAAUAUUUCUUACACUGCCUUUGUCAUCUAACUGAAAUGAAUUCUUAAUACUGGAUUUGAGUGAGACAGCCUAGAAAAAGGGUCUCAAUACAUCUUUCAAGUUCGACAGUAUGUUAACAUUGUACUUUAGUGUGUUUUAAGUUUUGAAUCUACUGUUGCCAGCCAAUUUGAAAGCAUCAUUAUGUCCAGCCCUUUUGCUCUUCUUUUUCCCGAAACUUUGCGUUUAUUCCUCUUGCUUUGGACAUCUGUUCACUAUUAAAGUGCACUGAUAUUCCUGGUAUGAUGGCAUUGGCUUUACUACUGAACAGUAGCUUGAUUCUUUCCAUGAUCUUCUUGCGUCACUAGCAGGCAGUUUGUUUGCUUGAUACCUUUUAUUUGACAUUUUAUUUUAUUUGCUGCUUAUGUCAGCUUUAUAUGUAGCUGAUUUUAUUUAUCAGGAGAGUCCAUCUAUAUAAUUUGUUGUAUACUUUGAUGCAAUUUAUUUUUCUGAUGCAAAAAUACCUAACAGACUUAUUAAAAAAAGUUGUCAAAUUUUGCUUUCUAAUAUUUUUUCUGUGAUAGAAAACUAAUUCUUGAUUAGAACAGCUUGACUUUUGUUCUACACCACUGCAUCCC